rnacentral:rRNA from 1 species
CAUGGCGGGUGCUACCAUGCAGUCGAACGGAAGGCCCUUUCGGGGGUGCUCGAGUGGAAAACGGGAGAGUAACACGUGUGUGAUCUGCCCUGCUUUUUGAGAUAACCCUGGAAAACUGGGUCUAAUACCGGAUAAGAUCACGCCCCUCGUGGUGUGUGGUGGAAAUUUUUUGCGGUGUGAGAUGGGCCCGCGCUCUAUCAUCUUGUUGGUGGGGUUGUGGUCUACCAGGGCCACCACGGGUACCCGGUCUGAGAGGGUGACCGGCCACUCUGGCACUGAUAUACGGCCCACACUCCUACGGGAGGCAGCAGUGGAGAAUAUUGCACAGUGGGCGCACGCCUGAUGCCGCCACCCCGCGUGGGGGAAGACCGCCUUCGGUUUGUAAACCUCUUUCAACGGGGAAAGAAGCGCAAGUGACGGUACCUGUAGAAGAAAGACCCGGCCAUCUACGUGCCCAGCAGCCGCGGUAAUACAUAGGGUCAGAGCGUUGUCCAGAUUUACUGGGCGUAAAGAUCUCGUAUGUGUUUUGUCGCGGUGUCCGUGAAAACUCACAGCUCAUCUGUGGGCGUGCGGGAGAUACGGAGCAGACUGGAGUACUGCAGGAGAGACGGGAUUUCGUGGUGUAGCGGUGGAAUGCGCAGAUAUCGAGAAGGAACACCGGUGGCGAAGGCGUCUCUCUGGGCUAGUAUCUGACGCUGAGGAGCGAAAGCGUGGGGAGCGAACAAGAUUAGAUACCCUGGUAGUCCACGCCGUAAACGGUGGGUACUAGGUGUGGGUUUCCUUCCUUGGGAUCCGUGCCGUAGCUAUCACGCAUUAAGUACCCCGCGUGGGGAGUACGGCCGCAAGGCGCUAAAACUCAAAGAAAUUGACGGGGGCCCGCACAAGCGGCGGAGCAUGUGGAUUAAUUCGAUGCAACGCGAAGAACUCUUACCUGGGUUGUGACAUGCACAGGACGCCGGCAGAGAUGUCGGUCUCCCUUGUGGCUCUGUGUGCAGGUGGUGCACAUGGCUGUCGUCAGCUCGUGUCGUGAUGAUGUUGGGUAUUAAGCUCCCCAGCAACGAGCGCAACCCUUGUCUCAUGUUGCCAGCACGUUAUGGUGGGGACUCGUGAGAGACUGCCGGGGUCAACUCGGAGGAAGGUGGGGAUGACGUCAAGUCAUCAUGCCCCUUAUGUCCAGGGCUUCACACAUGCUACAAUGGCCGGUACAAAGGGCUGCGAUGCCGUGAGGUGGAGCGAAUCCUUUCAAAGCCGGUCUCAGUUCGGAUCGGGGUCUGCAACUCGACCCCGUGAAGUCGGAGUCGCUAGUAAUCGCAGAUCAGCAACGCUGCGGUGAAUACGUUCCCGGGCCUUGUACACACCGCCCGUCACGUCAUGAAAGUCGGUAACACCCGAAGCCGGUGGCCUAACCCCUUUGGGGAGGGAGCCGUCGAAGGGGAUCG